CACGGGGGUUGCGAGCGUUGUCCGGAAUUACUAGGCGUAAAGGGCAGGCAGGCGGAUCCAUAAGUUUAUCGUUUAAGGCGUCGGCUUAACCGGCGUAGGGCGGUAGAUACUGUGGAUCUGGAAUGCGGUUGGGGAAGACAGAAUUCCUGGUGUAGCGGUGGUAUGCGCAGAGAUCAGGAGGUAUACCGAAGGCGAAGGCAGUCUUCCAAGCCGUUAUUGACGCUCAACUGCGAAGGUGUGGGUAUCAAACAGGAUUAGAUACCCUGGUAGUCCCUGA
rnacentral:rRNA from 1 species